GAUGAACGCUAGCGACAGGCUUAACACAUGCAAGUCGAGCGAAGCGCCUUACUUGAUUUCUUCGGGAUGAAAGUAUUGUGACUGAGCGGCGGACGGGUGAGUAACGCGUGGAUAACCUGCCUCAUACAGGGGGAUAACAGUUAGAAAUGACUGCUAAUACCGCAUAAGACCACAGCACCGCAUGGUGCAGGGGUAAAAACUCCGGUGGUAUGAGAUGGAUCCGCGUCUGAUUAGCUAGUUGGUAAGGUAACGGCUUACCAAGGCAACGAUCAGUAGCCGACCUGAGAGGGUGACCGGCCACAUUGGGACUGAGACACGGCCCAA
rnacentral:rRNA from 1 species